rnacentral:rRNA from 2 species
GAGCGAAUGGAUUAAGAGCUUGCUCCUAUGACGUUAGCGGCGCCCUUGUGAGUAACACGUGGGUAACCUGCCUGUAAGACUGGGAUCACUCCGGGAAACCGGGGCUAAUACCGGAUAACAUCUUCAACUGCAUGGUUCAAAAUUGAAAGGCGGCUUCGGCUGUCACUUAUGGAUGGACCCGCGUCGCAUUAGCUAGUUGGUGAGGUAACGGCUCACCAAGGCAACGAUGCGUAGCCGACCUGAGAGGGUGAUCGGCCACACUGGGACUGAGACACGGCCCAGACUCCUACGGGAGGCAGCAGUAGGGAAUCUUCCGCAAUGGACGAAAGUCUGACGGAGCAACGCCGCGUGAGUGAUGAAGGCUUUCGGGUCGUAAAACUCUGUUGUUAGGGAAGAACAAGUGCUAGAUGAAUAAGCCUGGCACCUGGACGGAACCUAACCAAAAAGCCACGGCUAACUACGUGCCACCAGCCGCGGUAAUACGUAGGUGGCAAGCGUUAUCCGGAAUUAUUGGGCGUAAAGCGCGCGCAGGUGGUUUCUUAAGUCUGAUGUGAAAGCCCACGGCUCAACCGUGGAGGGUCAUUGGAAACUGGGAGACUUGAGUGCAGAAGAGGAAAGUGGAAUUCCAUGUGUAGCGGUGAAAUGCGUAGAGAUAUGGAGGAACACCAGUGGCGAAGGCGACUUUUUGGUCUGUAACUGACACUGAGGCGCGAAAGCGUGGAGAGCAAACAGGAUUAGAUACCCUGGUAGUCCACGCCGUAUUAAAAGGGUGCUAAGUGUUAGAGGGUUUCCGCCCUUU